rnacentral:rRNA from 1 species
UACGAAGGGGCUAGCGUUGUUCGGAAUCAUUGGGCGUAAAGCGCGCGUAGGUGGUUCUCUAAGUCUCGUGUGAAAGCCUGGAGCUCAACUUCAGGAUUGCAUGGGAUACUGGUGAGCUUGAGACAGGGAGAGGCAAGUGGAAUCCGGGUGUAGCGGUGGAAUGCGUAGAUCUCCGGAAGAACACCAGCGGCGAAGGCGACUUGCUGGCCCGUGUUCUGACACUGAGGUGCGAAAGCGCUGGGGAGCAAACAGGG